rnacentral:rRNA from 1 species
GAUGAACGCUGGCGGCGUGCCUAAUACAUGCAAGUCGAGCGAACAGACGAGGAGCUUGCUCCUCUGACGUUAGCGGCGGACGGGUGAGUAACACGUGGAUAACCUACCUAUAAGACUGGGAUAACUUCGGGAAACCGGAGCUAAUACCGGAUAAUAUAUUGAACCGCAUGGUUCCAUAGUGAAAGACGGUUUUGCUGUCACUUAUAGAUGGAUCCGCGCCGCAUUAGCUAGUUGGUAAGGUAACGGCUUACCAAGGCGACGAUGCGUAGCCGACCUGAGAGGGUGAUCGGCCACACGGGAACUGAGACACGGUCCAGACUCCUACGGGAGGCAGCAGUAGGGAAUCUUCCGCAAUGGGCGAAAGCCUGACGGAGCAACGCCGCGUGAGUGAUGAAGGUCUUCGGAUCGUAAAACUCUGUUAUUAGGGAAGAACAAAUGUGUAAGUAACUAUGCACGUCUUGACGGUACCUAAUCAGAAAGCCACGGCUAACUACGUG